UCUGGUGUAGUCUCAUGUGACUUGUCAUGGGU
rnacentral:piRNA from 1 species